rnacentral:rRNA from 1 species
GAUGAACGCUGGCGGCGUGCCUAAUACAUGCAAGUCGAGCGAACAGACGAGGAGCUUGCUUCUCUGACGUUAGCGGCGGACGGGUGAGUAACACGUGGAUAACCUACCUAUAAGACUGGGAUAACUUCGGGAAACCGGAGCUAAUACCGGAUAAUAUAUUGAACCGCAUGGUUCAAUAGUGAAAGACGGUUUUGCUGUCACUUAUAGAUGGAUCCGCGCCGCAUUAGCUAGUUGGUAAGGUAACGGCUUACCAAGGCAACGAUGCGUAGCCGACCUGAGAGGGUGAUCGGCCACACUGGAACUGAGGCACGGUCCAGACUCCUACGGGAGGCAGCAGUAGGGAAUCUUCCGCAAUGGGCGAAAGCCUGACGGAGCAACGCCGCGUGAGUGAUGAAGGUCUUCGGAUCGUAAAACUCUGUUAUUAGGGAAGAACAAAUGUGUAAGUAACUAUGCACGUCUUGACGGUACCUAAUCAGAAAGCCACGGCUAACUACGUG